rnacentral:rRNA from 1 species
UACGGGGGGGGCAAGCGUUGUUCGGAAUUACUGGGCGUAAAGGGCUCGUAGGCGGCCAACUAAGUCAGACGUGAAAUCCCUCGGCUUAACCGGGGAACUGCGUCUGAUACUGGAUGGCUUGAGUUCGGGAGAGGGAUGCGGAAUUCCAGGUGUAGCGGUGAAAUGCGUAGAUAUCAGUCGGAACACCGGUGGCGAAGGCGGCUUCUUGGGCCUUUACUGACGCUGAUGCGCGAAAGCCAGGGGAGCGAACGGG